UAGAAAUUUCAAUCUAAUCCACCCGUUUUAAUGUGGAGCCUUUAGUUAUCAAACCCUAGGCAAAGGCUCAGUGUUUUAAGAACUAUUUAUGGCAAUCAGAUAAGAUGAGAGACAUGGAGAUUAUUUCAGUCUCUUAACCACACAGAGGCAGUGUGUGCAUACAGACACCGGAAAACCACUCCAUAGACCUGGAGUGGCAGGGUGAAAACGCGCUUUUUGUUAUGCAAACUCAACACAGAGCAUCAUGUACCCCAAUUUCACGAGUGGAGAAUAGAUUUGUAGUCCUUCACUUCACAUAGCGGCAGCUGUCCUGUUCAGCCAUGUUUAGAAUGAAUCCUGUGAAAUGCUGCAUUCAUGUUAAUAUGCUCUGUUUAGAAUGCCCACUGGCAUUUUUCAGUGUGCUACUGGAAAGCAGAGUGAGCGUCCGUGAAAGGCACGGAAAACUACUUUGUGAAAAAUAACUUUUGUUUUUCCAGCCAACUAUUUGCUCCCUCAUUCACCCUGCUCCUGAACAAUCUCUCCAUCCUCCUCACUCAACUAGAAACUAGAAAAUAACAAAAUAUAAUCUUAUAACUAUUAUUAUAAGAGCAGGUGGGAUAUCCACAAUCGACAACAGGACAACAGACUGCUUAUGUGGAAUAAUCAUCAAUGAAUGUGGGAAAACAGAAGCUACAGCUUUAUUAUUUUUGGUGAAUUUGACCACAGGUCCACUCGUACCCGUUUCAGACACUAAAUAAGUCACAGAAACGUGCCUGUAUUUUCAGAACAGUUUGAACUUUUGCUGUCGAUUGAGAUAAAACUCUGGCCACAUUUAAGAUUCCAAUGAAUCAUGAAGAAUCACAUUACCAGCAACAUUAAAAAGAAGAAUAAAUGAACACUUGACUGUUUUUUCCCAAUCAAUGAAUUGAUUGAAUUAAUUAAAGCGUCGAAGCACCGUGUUUCUAAAAGACAACUGGCAUCCCAUUUCCACAAAGGUGAGGAGGACAGGAGGGAAAACACCGGAGAGGUCUACUGACAAAAAAUAUUCACUUUUUCCUAUUUGUUUUAGGCAUAGAUAAAUAAUGAUGAUGCAGUGAUUAGUGUUUUGAAUCUUUUGGUUUGUGGUGAUGAGAGGCUGGUGCCUUUCUCUGUGGUGUUUCCUCAUUAUUUUGAGGAAAGCUGAAAUGUGGAGAUCACAGUUGUUGUUUUGUAGGUUUUGUUUUUUGUUUCUACACAAAAACAAAGAAUUAUAUUGAGAAUGUGCGUCUUAGGUCAUACAAAUGCCUACCAGUUAAAACCAUGUGAAAUGGUCAUUUUAUUUUGUUUUAAUUCAUCAUCGCAUGACUUUGCAGAGAAAUUGCAAAAGGCAGUCUUCCUUCAGUGGAAGGAUAAAAUGAUGUGGUUUAAAAAUGCCAUGUGGCUGCUUUCCUCCCUCGCACAGAUCAGUCCACACUUUCAUGGCAUGUAUGUUUUUUUUUUUUCUGGACUAUGAUGAGCAAACCUGGAUGCAGCUGGAGAAGCUUCAGCUUAAGUGGUUAUUGUUGGCAUUACUGUGAUUCUUAUAGGAGGUGCACUGAUUUGAGAUUUCUCAGAGAGUUUGCAGAAUUGUCAUUAGACUGAAAGAGUUUAAUGAUUCCCCACAUUACACUGAACUCUUGCAAGUCUAGAAAAGGAGCUGCUGGACAGACAUCAGCUGAGUGGUAAGUAUUUUUGUUUUCCAGUAGAUUAGUAAUAUUCAGUGUCAUCUAUAUUAAUCAUGCUAAAUGUUUAAUCAUACUUUAGACCAACCUGUUUUACUCCUCUAAUUUAUUCUUUGGCUUUGGGAAAUUGUUUCUUUACCAAGCUUUUUGUGCUUUCUGUUAUUAGACCUCAGGUAUGACUGCAUUAUGCUGUUGUCCUCAGAGGCAUUAAAGCAGGACUUUGUGUUGACUCCGGUAAAUUUUAUAAGACAUGCUGUGUAAGUAAAUACAAACAACAGUUUGGGAUGCAUUUCUUGAAAGAUUAUAUCUCACAAACUUAGUUUAGAGGUACCACAAUGUCUGUACAGUAUGUAGUGGAAGUCUGCACGUUUUGUGUGAAGAGAUGAGCUGAGCUAUCAACUCAACUGAGUUGGAUCAGGUGGUGGGGGAGGAUGCUGGACAGACCUGUCACACCCAAGCAUAUAGGCUGCACAGGGGAUGCCUGCCAGAAGCCCCAGUUCAGGAGAUCUUAAUAUCCCAGUUCAACAGUUUCAAAGGGAGGGUGGGGACAUUGAGUCAAAAUGGACAAUGUUCUGCACCUCCAUAGCUGAUGCUGCCGCAGCAAGGAGCUGCGGCCGCUAGGUGGUUGGUGCCUGUCGAGGUGGUAAUCUCAGAAGGGAGGCAUCAAGCUGAAGGAGGAGUCCUACCAGCCUUGGUUAGCCAGGUGGUGGCCUCCGCCUCGCAAUGGAGCAGUUCACGACUGAGUGUGAAGUGGCUGGAAUGAGAAUCAGCACCUCCAGAUCUGUGGCCAUGGUCCUCAGCUGGAAAAGGGUGGAGUGUCCACUCUGGCUGAAGGACGAGUUGCUGCCCCAAGUGGAAGAGUUUAGGUAUCUCGGGGUCUUGUUCACAAAUGAGCGGAGAGAAGAACGAAAGAUUGGCAGAUGGAUUGGGGCCACACCUGAAAUCAUCCUCAGAGUAGAGCUGCUACUCCACAUCGAAAGGAGCCAGUUGAGGUGGUUUGGGCGUGUCCCACUGGGAGGAGGCCCCAGAGCAGACCCAGGACAUGUGGUCUGGGGGUUCUCUGCUUAGGCCCCUGCCCCCGCGACCCAGCCACGGAUAAGUGGAAGAAAAUGGAUGGAUGGCAUAAUUGGUUAUAUCAAAUUGACAGUAUUUUUUGAAAACAGUGUAAUAAUGCAACUUGAUUGUCUAAAAUGCAGAAAAAAUGUUUUAAGAGCAAAUAUAACUUGGUGUUCUAAAGAAUGGGCAGCGCGGUGAUUAGUUAAUUGGUUAUUCGAAAUUGCAAGUGGGUGUGAAUCAGAGCGUAAAUGGUUGCCUGUCUCAGUGUGUUAGCCCUGUGACAGACUGGCGUCAUGUCCAGGGUGUACCCUGCCUCUUCCCUUAUGGUAGCUGGGAUAGGCUCCAGGCUCCAGGAUAAGCGGAAGAGAAUGGAUGGGUUCUAAAGAAUAUGAUUGUUUCCUUGCAGAACACAAGGAGAGAUGAGUCCUCCAUCACAGAUGGUGUGGUCAGUGAAGAUGGUCACCUGCAUCUUCAAGGUCAUUGGAUCUCCAACCCACAUCCACUGCCACUGUACAAGGAUGUUGGGAUAAUGUUAAAGACUUUCUUCAGGCACUUACAUUUGGAUCAUCUAAAUCUAUGACAGUCAUUUAGAUAGUAAUGCCAGGACUGGGAAACAAACCAUCCUUAAAGUAUUACAACAAACCAAUUAUGUGUUUUAUAUGCAAAACAAAUGUGGUGUUUGAGCUACAGACUGCACUGAACAUUUUAUAUUGAUUAUAUCAGUAAUAUAACUUGCAAUACAGUUAUGUAAUACAAGUUAUAGGAAGCUAAACUUUAGUUUCAGCAGAACAGUGUCCAGUGUGUUGGCUGAAAUGCUUUUUUGCAUUUGAAAAUAAAAGUUGGGCUGAUUUUAACUGCA